rnacentral:rRNA from 1 species
UACAGAGGUCCCGAGCGUUGUUCGGAUUCACUGGGCGUAAAGGGUGCGUAGGUGGUGGGGUAAGUCGGAUGUGAAAUCCCCGGGCUUAACCUGGGAAUGGCAUUUGGGACUGCAAGGCUUGAGUGCGGCAGAGGAGACUGGAAUUCCUGGUGUAGCAGUGAAAUGCGUAGAUAUCAGGAGGAAUACCGAUGGCGAAGGCAGGUCUCUGGGCCGACACUGACGCUCAUGCACGAAAGCGUGGGGAGCAAACAGG